ACGGAUAUCCAUUGGAUAAAAAUAAUUAUCCAUAUCCAUCUGGAUAUAAUUUUAAAAUAUCCAUUUCAAAAUCCAAAAAUUUUUGGAUGGAUAUUAUCUGAUCCAAUUGGAUGGAUAUUGUGGAUAUCCAUUAUGGAGUGAUCCAGUUGCCAUCCCUAAGUAGGGGUGUUCGCAAGUUGGAUUUUGUAGAUUAUAAAUUUUUAAUUCAAUUCAAUUCACAGUUGGUGAAAUUCAAUCCAAAUUCAAUUCAUACGUCUGCGGAUCGGAUGCGGAUUUGACUCAAUUCAUAUCCAAUCUACUAUUUUAUGGGUUAAAAUUUUUUAUUCAUGUCCUACCCACAAACUAACUAAAUAAAAAAUUAAUAUUAUAAUACUAGAGGCUAACAACAUCAAGAAUCUCAAUAUUUUUUGCUUACAGUAACAACUUAAUAUAUGUCUCUCUAACAAGUGGGCAUCUCAAAUAACAACCAACAAGAUGAUAAAAUAAAAAUAAACACCAGUAGGAUUGUAGAGGACGAUGACAAGAACUUACUUUCUAAAUUUAAGAGAAAACGGAGUUAAAAUCACCUUCCGAUCAUCCAAUCAAAGAUUGAAAUCCUAGCCCCCAAAUUUAAUAUCAGGCCAUUGUUCUCUCUCUCUCUCUCUGGUCUUUUCUUCACUUAUCUUUUGCAAUUAUAGUGUCUAGGGUUGCCGCUUUUACUUGCUUUUAUUUGUGAUUAUACUGUCUUAAGUUUGAUGUCCAAUUAGUACUAAUUAUUUAGCGAAAGUCCCAUUCAUCGACGAAUUCCAUUGCUCUCAAAGAAUCAAAGAUGUUUAUUUUUUUCACAAUAAUUCUAUAG
rnacentral:lncRNA from 1 species